UGGGGAACAUUACACAAUGGGCGCAAGCCUGAUGCAGCCAUGCCGCGUGUAUGAAGAAGGCCUUCGGGUUGUAAAGUACUUUCAGCGAGGAGGAAGGCAUUAAGGUUAAUAACCUUAGUGAUUGACGUUACUCGCAGAAGAAGCACCGGCUAACUCCGUGCCAGCAGCCGCGGUAAUACGGAGGGUGCAAGCGUUAAUCGGAAUUACUGGGCGUAAAGCGCACGCAGGCGGUCUGUUAAGUCAGAUGUGAAAUCCCCGGGCUCAACCUGGGAACUGCAUUUGAAACUGGCAGGAGUGAGUCAUGGAGAGGGGGGUAGGAUUCCAGGUGUAGCGGUGAAAUGCGUAGAGAUGUGGAAGAAUACCGGUUGCGAAGGCGGCCCCCUGGACAAAGAAUGGCGGUCAGGUUCGAAAGCGGAGGGAGCAAACA
rnacentral:rRNA from 1 species